UGGGGAAUAUUGGACACUGGGCGAAAGCCUGAUCCAGCCAUGCCGCGUGUGUGAAGAAGGUCUUCGGAUUGUAAAGCACUUUAAGUUGGGAGGAAGGGCAGUAAGCGAAUACCUUGCUGUUUUGACGUUACCGACAGAAUAAGCACCGGCUAACUCUGUGCCAGCAGCCGCGGUAAUACAGAGGGUGCAAGCGUUAAUCGGAAUUACCGGGAGUAAAGCGCGCGUAGGUGGUUCGUUAAGUUGAAUGUGAAAGCCCCGGGCUCAACCUGGGAACUGCAUCCAAAACUGGCGGGCUAGAGGAGGGAAGAGGGGGGUGGAAUUGCCUGUGUAGCGGUGAAAUGCGUAGAUAUAGGAAGGAACACCAGUGGCGAAGGCGACCACCUGGGAUCAUACUGACACUGAGGUGCGAAAGCGUGGGGAGCAAACAGG
rnacentral:rRNA from 1 species